rnacentral:rRNA from 1 species
CCUACGGGAGGCAGCAGUGAGGAAUAUUGGUCAAUGGCCGUAAGGCUGAACCAGCCAAGUCGCGUGAAGGAUGAAGGAUCUAUGGUUUGUAAACUUCUUUUAUAGGGGAAUAAAGGUAUCCACGUGUGGCUAUUUGCAUGUACUCUAUGAAUAAGCAUCGGCUAACUCCGUGCCAGCAGCCGCGGUAAUACGGAGGAUGCGAGCGUUAUCCGGAUUUAUUGGGUUUAAAGGGUGCGUAGGUGGGUUUUUAAGUCAGCGGUGAAAGUUUGUGGCUCAACCAUAAAAUUGCCGUUGAAACUGGAAGACUUGAGUGUGUUUGAGGUAGGCGGAAUUCGUGGUGUAGCGGUGAAAUGCAUAGAUAUCACGCAGAACUCCGAUUGCGAAGGCAGCUUACUAAGCCAUAACUGACACUGAAGCACGAAAGCGUGGGGAUCAAACAGGAUUAGAUACCCCAGUAGUC